AACGCCAGUUCCCGAAGGAUUCACUUCAUUUUGCUCAUUCAUCGUGUACACUCAAUUGGCUUUCUGUGAUGCCUCAAGAGAUACUAGAUAACUCUUCUCCUGCAUGGAAUCAAGGAAAAAUUAUGUAUUCUGGAGAGAAAAAGGAAGUGUUAAAUGCUUAUGCACUCCAGUAUGCUAAGGAUUUGGACUCGUUUUUUAAAGCAAGGGCACAAGAGUUGGUUUGUGGAGGCUUAAUGGCACUUGUUGUUCCAACUGUGCCUAACCCUAAUCAUGAUUUAUCUAGUAUCACUUUCCCUUCAUACGAUCUUCUGGGGACUUGUCUUAUUGAGUUGGCCGAGAGGGUACUAUAAAGAACUGAACUGAGUAUUAUAUAGUAACUUAUUGAAGAAGUCAUUAAUGUUCUUUCUUGUUGCAGGGACGAUUCGAUGCAGCCAAAGUAGACUCGUUCAACUUGCCUGUAUAUUACACAUAUCCAAAUGAAUUGAAGGCCAUAAUUGAGAAAAAUCAAGAUUUUCGUAUUGAGAGAAUAGAGGUACUAAACAUCCCGAGCAAGCAUCACACGAAUCCGGACCCCAAAGCAUAUUCCCUGACCCAAAGAGCUGUUUUCGAGGGACUAUUACAAGAACAUUUUGGAAGUGAAUUCAUGGAUGAACUGUUCGACCUAUACACAGAAAAAAUUGAAGAAACUGCAGUUCUAUUGAAUCCUAAAGAGACAUCUAUGGUCACGUUUGUCCUCCUUAAACGUGUUUUUAGAAUGACUUGACCUCGUAGUACUUGCGGAGUCAAAUCAUGGUUCACUGCAAGAAUUUUCUUUUCUUUUCUUCUUUUGCAUUUCUCUUUGAAUUUCAAUGUGAUUACCAUUUUCUGUUGCUGCACUAAUUGGAAAAUAAAACUCAGUGGCAACUAAGAUGCUUUGUAUCUUGAUCUUGAAAUAUGUGAUUUAUUUUAAUUAAAUUAC
rnacentral:lncRNA from 1 species